AUAGUUAUAGAUGGUGAUUUAAAUCACAAACUAAUCCUAAUUGUUUUCCUCCAGCAGCCCCUCACGGAAUCCCCCUACAGCCUUUUCCUCCUCUAAAAUUUCUAAAUUCUCCUCCUUGCAUGCAAGACAUAGCCACGCUCAAGCAUCCAAGAGGCACCACACUGCUGAUUCUUCAUCUUCUUGCUUUGCAUCUCACGGUUCUCAGCCUUUUCUGCCAUGGGUUGGAUUUUGUUAUUCUGAUUGGUGAAAAAAUUCGUCUAAUUAAAGCUCCUAGCACGCCCUCGAUCCCGAUUCUACGAGUGUUCGUCACAGGCUUCUUUUUUAUGGGUCAUACGUGUCGAACGGACACUCGUGCUGCAAGUUACGUUAAUCGCAAGUUCAAAAGGCAAAGUGUGCAGGAGCUCGAAUGAACGCUAGAGAGUAGUAAGUAGACUCCACAUCAAACAAGGAAGCGGGUAUGUGAGAUGGUCCACUUCCUGUGGACAUUUAAUUUUGGUUUGGAGCAUCUUGCUAUCAACAACCUAUGACUCCAAAUGAUUGCAUUGGAAAAUGCAAGUUACUCGAUAUUUGAGUUGUUUGGUAUUGUGACAUUGUUUGAUUGAUGUUGUGAUGUGCUAGGAAAUGCCAAGGGGACUUAAGAAUGGCCCUCACAUGGCUUUGGAGUCUGAGGGUAGGGUGGCUAAUAGAUCUAACCUACAGGCCACAGGAAAGUCAAGAAAUGGAUAAUUGUGAUGAUAGCAUGUGUAUGAGUGGAUGAUUGUAUGUGUAAGUGCUUAUUGUAGAAUAUCUUAUGAAGCAACUGAUUUUGCAUAUUGAUUCUUGGAGCACGAAGGAGUUAAUGGUUAGGAUUGAAUGU